GUGGCGUGCUUUUAGGUUGGGUUUAGGGAAAGAACAUUGGGAAAGGCUUUAGUAACACUAAAAAACAACAAAAACACGACGGUGACCAACAUCACACGCUUACGAAAACAAUAAACGGUUGGGUUUAGGAAAAGAACAUUGGGGAAGGCUU